GACGUAGGGCGCGAGCGUUGUCCGGAUUUAUUGGGCGUAAAGAGCUCGUAGGCGGCUCGUUGCGUCGGCUGUGAAAACCCGCAGCUCAACUGUGGGCUUGCAGCUGAUACGGGCGGGCUGGGAUUCGGUAGGGGAGACUGGAAUUCCUGGUGUAGCGGUGAAAUGCGCAGAUAUCGGGAGGAACACCGGUGGCGAAGGCGGGUCUCUGGGCCGAUAUCGACGCUGAGGAGCGAAAGCGUGGGGAGCGAACAGG
rnacentral:rRNA from 1 species